GAUGAACGCUGGCGGCGUGCCUAAUACAUGCAAGUCGAGCGAACAGACGAGGAGCUUGCUCCUUUGACGUUAGCGGCGGACGGGUGAGUAACACGUGGGUAACCUACCUAUAAGACUGGGAUAACUUCGGGAAACCGGAGCUAAUACCGGAUAAUAUUUCGAACCGCAUGGUUCGAUAGUGAAAGAUGGCUCUGCUAUCACUUAUAGAUGGACCUGCGCCGUAUUAGCUAGUUGGUAAGGUAACGGCUUACCAAGGCAACGAUACGUAGCCGACCUGAGAGGGUGAUCGGCCACACUGGAACUGAGACACGGUCCAGACUCCUACGGGAGGCAGCAGUAGGGAAUCUUCCGCAAUGGGCGAAAGCCUGACGGAACAACGCCGCGUGAGUGAUGAAGGUCUUCGGAUCGUAAAACUCUGUUAUUAGGGAAGAACAAACGUGUAAGUAACUGUGCACGUCUUGACGGUACCUAAUCAGAAAGCCACGGCUAACUACGUG
rnacentral:rRNA from 1 species